AAAAAGAUUUUGGCAUCGCUUCGCUUGGGGAGAAAAAUCAGCCUCUUGGAUUGGAUCCCAUUCCCAUGAAUGUGGCAUGCAUGAGUGUCACAGAAAAAUGUGAUCUUGGCCCUCACCCAACGCCGUGACUCGAGCGAUCCCUCGUCGAUCCCCAUUCCACGCUCACGCCGCCACUCACCUCCGCCCGUCGCCGGCGUCCCCCACACCUGCCGGCGGAUUUCCUCGCCUCCCCAGCGCCGCAUCCAAUCUCGCCUCCGCGUGCCGACCCAGGAACCACGCGCGCGUGCCCGUCGUUAGCACGACGCACGGAACCCCGUCGAGCUGGCCUGCCGGUGUCCGCGCGCGCGUCGGCGGCCCAGGGAGGCUAGCAGGACGUCCCUGACGCCGUUGGCCGUGAGAUCUGGCGGAGGAGGCCGCUCCGCUCCAGCAGCGCCUCGGCUCCGACCCAGCCGUACGUCUCCCCCCGUGGGCUCGCCCGCCGGAAACAAGGCCUAGCCGUUGUAGGGUCCUGAAAUGUUUUCGGUGGCAUAGUGCGUAAGGACAGGUCCACCAUGGACACCGCUGUUCAGUACCUUGUCGACAUCGGCGUCCAAAGGAAGGGCUUCCCUUGCUUCUCGCAGCAUCGGUCCCGCAAGUUCCUCUGCUAUGUCGAGACGACACUGUCUUGCUGCUAAGCCCUGGACGACUAGGACUUCCUCCAGCAGGACUGGCAUCACCAUCAAGUAUGGCAGGGUCAACGUAAUAUCCACCCUUGGUGCUUUGGUUACACGUGACAAAAGCAUCCGAGCUGCCUUUCAUCGCUACUUGUUUGGAUUAUCUUCGUCAAGGAUUGUGCCAAAGGCUGUUGGAUACUAUUCGAAAAGGUGUGCUCCUCAUGACUUAUCUUCAUUGGUAUUGUUGAGAUGCUGGUCCUUUCUGAUAUCCAGAGUUGGUCAAUACGUUGGUCCUGUGGUUUAUUCCAGACCUAUCGAAACAGCUGUGUAUCGUUAAUUUGAUGUUAUUUCUUGGGUAAUUUUUGCUGACCGAAAGAUUGGAUGGAACUAUUAACUGCAUAACCAGAAGGAAAAUGGAACAUGUGAUGUUUCUGGAUUAACUAAUGGCAAGUGUUUGCCCGAUGGGAAAGAAAAUUAGCAUCUUGAACUCCGCAACCUUGAACUGCCGCAACAGUUGAUUCCUGAGGUUACAAUGAAUGAUUCUUUCAGAACACUGAAUUGGAAUGUAGCACUGCAGCAUGGUUCAAUUCCACCAAGGUUUGUUUGAUAUGCAAUGUGAGGCUUUAAGCUUUUGUUUCUGCGAAAAGCUACUUUUGUUCACCAGUCGAUUUUGCAAAUCCUGAUAUUAUCGGCAACAUGCUCCCACUCCUGUGCUAUUUAUAUUCUAUGGGGUUCCAAGUGUUGGUGUCUUUCUCUCAUGUUUUAGUUGGAUGGGAUCUGUUUCAUGUGCCAUCAAUAUGUUUUCUUCUUUGUGCUAGAAGGUUUUUCAAUACACUAUACUCUUGGAGCUGUAGCUUCUUACUGAUGCACUAUCUAUGAAAUGUAUGGUUCUGGUUGUGCUGCCGUUGUGCUGGCCACAGCCAGUCCUCGUCUUCGACCUCUUCAGUAGAGUACCUGGUUCAUUGCUCUGCAGUGUGUGUGCAUGCCCUGCUGGAAAAUUCAGUUCAAUUGUUAGUUUUACUGACUUGGCUACUCCAUUCUCCCUUGUUUUAGAUUUAAAAAAAUAAGUACAAAGAGGCAUGCACACCAAUAGCUAGCUGAUUGAGAUCAACUUGUCCGAAAAUGCAAUCUGUAGUAGUUAAAACUAGAAUAACUGUAAUACCAAUCAAUGGUUAUUCCUAGACCAUGGAAUGAACAUUUUUGUGCAGAAAAAACAACUUGGUUUUGCUUUUUGUUCAUAUUAAUUCCUUGCAUAAUAUGUACAGGAGUGGUGCUCUUUGUUUGACUCGCGGUCACAAUGCUCUCAAAUAGAUUGAUAGGUACACACAUGUAUUGAUUGUAAGCUGAAAGAUGCCUUUUUCCCCUGUACGUUGAAGCAAUCAUGUUGUGUGAAACUGUUGUUGUGGUCAGUCUGCUUCAUGAAUGAUUUUGAUUGUUAUUGACAUGAUUGAUCAGUUAGGCAUCAAUCAAAACUUGGACAUAGAAAUGUUGCAUGUGUGUGUGUGGCGCUACUAGGUACUAACCAAAUUAUUUGAAUCCCUUCUGCAUAUAGAACUACAGGUGCUUCUGUAAUUUGUGUUCAGGCCCCUUUAUUGCAUGGUCACUCAACUAAUAGAGUUUAUGUGGCGAUGAUUUUCAUGCUUCCCCAGGUGCUAGCUACUGCUUGGCUAAGGAAUUAUAUAAGAAUAUAUCCUUUCUACCAUUCAGUUAUGGUUGUAGAACUGAUAAGAACAGAAUAACUGAUGGACUUGGUUUGGUAGUUUCUUAACUUCCUUAAUAAUGCUUGUGUAUAUGUGUAGUGCUUUGGUGCAUCCUUGAAGUUCAAUGGUAUUAUUUUCCUUAGUCGAUAUUCUGCAGAUAUUGUUCCUUCUUGCUAUGUUUUAGCAACUCAUCCAACUUUAUAACUCUUGAGUCUUGACACCUGCUAACGUAUUGCAGCUAUCCGUAUAUUUAUUUUCAUAAACAUUCCCAAGAGAACACUCUGUUAAACUAUUUGCCAUUUCCAUCUGUUUCUGCUUUAAAUUUCUUUGAGAAUUGAUCGUAUAUCGGGUUGUAGCGAAACUGGUAAGCAAUACUUAACAUUAGUUGCUCUCUUCAGUUAAUUUUUUUCUUCAAAUUGUGGACAUCUUGUCGAGUGGCUCACGUCUCAAUGUUCACAAUGUCAAUGUACCUCUUAAAUCCUUAUUUAUAAUUAAUGUAUGAACUUGUGCUAUGGAUCUACACUUAGAAAUUGGUUGCUGACUGUUUAAUUGGUUGGUCGAUGUUUGUUGUUGUGUUGGCGAUGAACCUGGUUGCUAGUGCCGCUGAAAUUCUCGUUGAUGUUUUGUAGUUGUGUGGGUCUCCUUUGAAAUUUAUUUAGUUUUGCCAAACUCUGUUUUGGUUUCAAGUAGUAGAUACAUAUUGGCAUGCUUUCUUAUGUUCAAGUGUUUUUACUUGCUGGGUAACAAAUGAAGGGUACAUGUGUGUUUACUAGCGGCUCUUAUAAGGAGUCUUGUGAAAAUCUCAGUGUUUGCUGACCAUGCUUUGGUUCUUGUUGAAGGAUAACCGACGAGGAGUGAACUGGCGGGCGGCCUUGUACGACUCUGGGUGUAUGUAUUUUGAAUAGAUGGAGUAGUUGUUGUGCAAGCUAGGUGCAGUUGAAAACAGGUAGUGGAGAGGUCCUAGCACCGAUACCGAUAAUUAUGCUGUAAUUGUUUCCUGUGUCUUGUUAACCUGUAACUUACUACUAAAAAUUUAUUUAGUGCCUGAACGGCCGCAGUCGGCACGUACAGCACCGUCGAGCUACCCCGAAGUAAUCCGGGCAGUGCAUAUGCGUGCAUCUCCAUGCCAUGAUCAGAGCAAAUUAAGGAAGGCAAAAAAGAAAAAAGAGGAGAGAACCCGUCUCCUAAUUAAGGAACUGGAUUGCUUGGUGGUAUUAAUUAAUUAAAUCGGGGGAGCGAUUAUGGUGGAGUACGUUGUCAUGUGAAACGAUCCAGGCAGUACUAUGUACGUGCACGCGCGCAGGUACGUACGUGUG